CCCCACACACUCACCGCAUCCCUCAGUGGGACCCGGCCUCAGGCACCAGGGGGAAAUCCCACGGGCAGUGCCAAUGCUGCCCGAGCCCAGACCCAGGCAGAGCCGGGGCCGGAAGCCCUCUCCCUUCUCUCUAGCCCUCUGUAGGGGAGCACGUGCUCACCCCACAAGGACCCAUGGGCCAAGCUGGGGACUUAUGUCCCUGGUGGGUAAAGGCACCUGGCUGGUUUCUCUCUGCCCACAGCAGUCCAGCUCUGCAGAGCCGGGGGGAUGAAAGGACAGACAGCCUAACUCUGCCAGAGGCCUGGGAUAGCAACUCCCCCUUUAAGCCUCAGUCCCCUGGUCUACAAAACAGGAGGGAAGAUAAACCCCUAGUUAAGCUCCAAGAAUCUAGUGGCUGGACACGCCCCUUCCUGACACCUGGCUGGGCCCUGAGGAGCCUGGGAAAAGGGGCUGACAAGGCUGCCAGGAGGUGGGGCAUGGUCCUAAUGCCCAGUGUCACCUCCACCAGGACAGAGGCCCAGCCCAGUUUCCCCACCCUAGGGUCAGAGGUCCCUUGGCUUAGGCCUGGUCUUCUGGGAGGCCGAGGGUGACAGGCUCAACCUCUGGCAGGCUCAAGGGAGGUGGCUGGGCCCUGGGCUUCCUGGAGACGGCAGGGCCUCCGCAGGGGAAUGCGGGAGGGGUCAGAACCAGGCAGGCCAAGGAACCCGCAGGGAGGCCCUGGGCCGGGAAUGGCAAACCGCCCAUCCUCCUGGGCCCUGGCCCAUGCCGACCCCCUCCCUCCAGGCUCCAGCCAGCCCCCACAAGAGGGGGAGGACAGACUCGGGGUGGCCAGAGACAAGUCUGUGGGGCUCGAAAGGUAGUACCUCCCUCGUGCGCUCCCCUCCCAGUCGGGCUGGGCUGACAGUGACUCCCGGGAGAUUUCGAACCCGGGAAGGAGGGUGUAAGGGAGGUGGGGGAUGGGUGUGGACGCCACGGCAGCUGCAACAGAAGCAACAGAAGCGGGACGAGCGACCUCCACCCACCCCCCGCCGGGAAGCACUCGGACGCCCACCUCCUCCAGAAAAGGAACUGAAGGGAUUCCAUGAGGGAACUCAGCCACCAGACCCUGCGUAGGAGAGGAAGGAUUCAGGAUGCCAUUGUAUCAUUCUCACCCAAUUUAUUUUAACAGCUUCUGGGUUAGAGUCCUGGCCUCACUCCUGCCCAGCUGUGUGACCUUAAGUAAAGGUCAUAUAACUUUCUGAGCCUCAGUUUCCUGAUCUCUAAAAUGAGAGGCUCACCUCACUUGUGAUGCUAAACAGAGAAGAAGAAAAGCUAAUCACUUAGCACAGUGCUUUGGCCCCAGGCACACUUGCACUCACUGGCAGUGAGAUGAAUAUUUUUUUCUCUGACUCCUGAAACAGGCUGUGUAGUACUGGCUCUCCCCUGCUGUCCUCUAAGUCCAGCUUCCUGAGGCUUUUGUCUGUUCCUGAGCCUACAGUUUCACAAUGGCUUGUGAACAGUAACCCUCCUCCAUCCAUUCCCCAAAUAUUGAGGGCAUGUGUACUACUUCCCAGGCACCAGAGCCCCUGGGGUUAGGCAGAGCCAGAGCUUCCUUGGUUCUUGGUACCCGGAGUCCUGGGCUUCUGAGCUUCUGAAAGUUUGAUGCUUCCCUCUCAAGGCUGCCUGGAGACCUUCUCCUGCCGCGUGUCAUCUUUGAGCUGGACCAGCCUCCACCCAGAAGUCCCCGGGCUCAACUGCACAGAUUGGAAACCCAGUUGGUGUUGUUCUGCCUUUCUCAUGGGAACUGUUUGGGGGAAAGCCGAAAAGGGGUUCUGGGUUCUUCACGGUACAAAAGUUGGAAACUUGGCCUAGGAUGGGGGUGGGCAAGGAGAAGCAGCAGGAGGUUUGCCUAGCUUGGGCUGCAAAGGGAGAACAGCUGGGUGCUGCUACUGCCUCAGGCCAAGCUUUUGCAAAUCACAUGCAAAUCCUCUUGCCCAGGUGUUGUACCUGUGAAUAAACUUGUGUGUCUGUGUCUGAGAUCAGGGGAGGUUUUGGAAGAGUGGGGUGAAACUGCGCAGGGAGGAGAUCCUCCGUGAGCUGAGGAGCUUUUAGAAGCUGCCUGAGACAGGGAUGGGCACCUGGAGGGACAUGUCCCUUCCCUUUGAUUUUUAAGGCCCUCAGAGUUUAGUUCUGAAGAGCGGGUGCCUGGGUGGAGAGGAGAGGGAUUGUCUCUCCAUGGGGCAAACAGUAAAUGUGUAUUGAGUGAAUAAGUGAGCAACCGAA